GACGAACGCUGGCGGCGUGCCUAAUACAUGCAAGUCGAACGAAGCACCUUGAUUUGAUUCUUCGGAUGAAGAUCUUGGUGACUGAGUGGCGGACGGGUGAGUAACGCGUGGGUAACCUGCCUCAUACAGGGGGAUAACAGUUAGAAAUGACUGCUAAUACCGCAUAAGACCACAGCACCGCAUGGUGCAGGGGUAAAAACUCCGGUGGUAUGAGAUGGACCCGCGUCUGAUUAGGUAGUUGGUGGGGUAACGGCCUACCAAGCCGACGAUCAGUAGCCGACCUGAGAGGGUGACCGGCCACAUUGGGACUGAGACACGGCCCAA
rnacentral:rRNA from 1 species